AGAGCGAACGCUGGCGGCAUGCUUAACACAUGCAAGUCGCACGGUCGGAGCAAUCCGGCAGUGGCGGACGGGUGAGUAACGCGUAGGUAUCUAUCCUUGGGUGGGGGAUAACGCCGGGAAACUGGUGCUAAUACCGCAUGACGACUGAGGUCCAAAGGCGCAAGUCGCCUGGGGAGGAGCCUGCGUCCGAUUAGCUUGUUGGUGGGGUAAUGGCCUACCAAGGCGACGAUCGGUAGCUGGUCUGAGAGGAUGAUCAGCCACAUUGGGACUGGGACACGGCCCAAACUCCUACGGGAGGCAGCAGUGGGGAAUAUUGGACAAUGGGCGAAAGCCUGAUCCAGCAAUGCCGCGUGGAUGAAGAAGGUCUUCGGAUUGUAAAGUCCUUUCGGCGGGACGAUGAUGGACGGUACCCGCAGAAGAAGCCCCGGCUAACUUCGUGCCAGCAGCCGC
rnacentral:rRNA from 1 species